rnacentral:lncRNA from 1 species
GUCAGAAAAGCCCUCUGGUUUACUGGAUCCAAAGGACCAAGAAAGAAAGACUUCUGGCUACCUAAUUUUAGGCAGCAUUUCGAAUAUCAAGACAAAGUAUCAGGAUGGAAAAGAUGCAGGGAUCCAUGCUAAUUAUAUUUUGGCUUCAUCUUGGCUGUGAGUUGGGGGGUUCUUAGAGCUGGGAGCUCCAGGGGACAUUCAUUGAAACCUAGGGGACAGAUGAGGGUGUAAUUUGAAAUUAUUUGGCACUUUUGGGGGGAUAUUUAGGCACAAAGUUAUGAAAGGUCUGAACUAAAGCUAAAUAUUGUGUCUGUUGUCUUUCAAAUAGGGGUGAAAGGAGGAAACCAGGUGGAGCAGAGUCCUCCUUCCUUGAGACCCUGGGAGGGAGAUGGCACCUCCAUGAGCUGCACUUAUUCAGUCAGUGCUUUUAACAGUCUGCAGUGGUACAGACAAGACAAAGGGACAGGUCUCAGACACCUCUUCUCCAUGUAUUCAGCUGGGGAUGUGCAGCAGAAGGGAAGACUACGAGCCACAUUGCUGAAGGGUGGAAGCAGCUUGAACAUCACAGCUGUGCAGCAUGGAGACUCAGCCACCUACCUCUGUGCUGUAGUCACACAGUGCUACCCAGGCACCUGCCACCUGCACCCAAAUCUACAGCUGGGCAGGCACAGUUUGACAGAACCCUCUGCAACAGGGCUCGAGCCUAAGUCCUUGUGUGGAGUUAAGGGCUGGGCUGACCAGGAAGGUCAGGAGACAAGUGCUGAUGCUCAUUUGUGCCAGAUUUUUCAUCUGGCCACCCUUCACAUUCUCCUGUGGCCUCUUCUGAGUACAUCAAUCCCAGUGCUCCUUCUCUUCUACCAGAUCCAUCAGAGUCCCUGGUCAGUCAAUGGAUAUGAGAGCAUGUCUUCUUUGGGGUCUGGUGGAAACAGAAAAAAUU